AACAGAAAUUCCAAGGCUACAUAAGAAACAAGACUGGAAGGGGCUGUCAGAGGAAUUUAAGGGUGGCCAAAAUAACUGUCCCCUGAGGAACUCAGACAGGGAAGGACUGGAUUGAGCUGUCCAGAAUGAAACCUAGCUUUUGGGUGUGGGGGUUGAAAGACUGAAAGAGAAAGCCCAUAGUUACUAAUGUAAGAUGGGUGAGAAAAAUAGUAAAUCUUUUGUUCAUUUUGGAGAAUUCAAGUCCUGGGAAGGUAUGCUGAACCUGUAGGUGGGGUGGGGACACUAGCCAAGGAGUCAGCCUAUGGCUAAGGUUAACUUUAAGGCUAAGAGAGAAAGAGAAAUCCCAGAACUACAGUUUGAGUUGAGCUGGAAAGAGGCUACUGAAGGGAACUAAGAGCUGCAAAACUAAAUGUCCUCUGAGAGCAAUGUUCCACAAAAUUUUACUAUCAGGAUCUAGUAUAUGAUUUCCAAUAAGAUUAUAAAAAAACCAUAGCAACAGGACUCAAUAUGUAAUGCCUUGUUUUUCCCUGUCUGUCUUUCUUAGAGCAAAUGGCACACAGGGUAGAUUAAUCACCUUGAACUAUGGAAAUAGCCUCUCCUGGAAAUUAUUAAGAAACUAGAAUGGUUUCAUCCUCAUGUGUACUGAAAAAAAAAAUCCACUACAGAUUACUAAAUAUACAGAAAAAUCAGCCAACUAAAAAGAAAAAAAAAAUAAAUGGCAAGCUGGAAUAGUUGGAAGCUGGGAGAGCACUUGGAAGAAGUAUCAGUCUUUCCUUACAGUUAUGUCCAGAUGAGGGAAUGGAAAUGGGUCACCUGGUUACCAGAACAGCCCCCACUCCACUCUUUCUUCCUGUGCUGUGGAUGGCCCAGGGCAGGAGGAAGUGGAGGUCAGCAGAAAAGUCCUCAGGACUUGAUAGGGCCGCAGAUUGAGGAUAAGAAUGGGAAGAGGGAUUAAAAUGUCCUUAAACUACAGACACAGGACCUGGAGUGGAAUUCACCUUCAGCACUCCUCUCAUACCAGAACUGCCCCAUGCUUCACCUCUACUCAGAGAGGAGGAAAGGAAGGUGCGACACCCACCUGCCUCUUCAUCUCCCCCGUUGGAUGAGGGUACUUCAAACUCAAGCAGCUUCCCGCUCUACAGUGCAGCCAAACGGUUCCCUGAGGGCCAUUCCUCUGGCCAGGAGCUUCCCAAACAGCCUGGCCUUGGGCUGCUCCACCCUGCAGCCGGCUCAGUCCUACCCAGCCGGACCCUCAUGCAGCAUCUCCAGAACAACAACCAGGUGAAUGGAGAAGCCUUUGACUCCUGUCUCAAGUUCUCUGCUAUCUCAUGCCAUAGGAGCUAAGGGAAAGAAGGGGAGAGAUGGCACGUGAAGCACCUUCAGAGUUUUACAUAAGUGGAAGUAAUGCCAAUGAACGCCUGCAAUUUGGUUCUGGUCAGAUGUUUUGAACCCAUUAUGGCUGAACGGGUCCUGGAAGUCCCCAAACACAUUCCCAUUAUCGCUAAUUAAAUUAGUUUAUUGAGAACAUCAAUGAAAAACAUUAUACAAUUAAAACAUUUGCACU
rnacentral:lncRNA from 1 species